AGCAGCCGCGGUAAUUCCAGCUCCAAUAGCGUAUAUUAAAGUUGUUGCAGUUAAAAAGCUCGUAGUUGAAUUUCGGGAUCAAUAUAUUGGUCAUGCUUAGGUAUGUACUGGUAUUAUUGAUUUCUCCCUUCUGAAGAACCAUGAUGUCAUUAAUUUGAUGUCGUGGGGAAUCAGGACUGUUACUUUGAAAAAAUUAGAGUGUUUAAAGCAGGCUUUCGCUUGAAUACAUUAGCAUGGAAUAAUGAAAUAGGACGUUUGAUUCUAUUUUGUUGGUUUCUAGGAUCGACGUAAUGAUUAAUAGGGAUAGUUGGGGGCAUUAGUAUUCAAUUGUCAGAGGUGGAAUUCUUGGAUUUAUUGAAGACUAACUACUGCGAAAGCAUUUGCCAAGGAUGUUUUCAUUAAUCAAGAACGAAAGUUAGGGGAUCGAAGACGAUCAGAUACCGUCGUAGUCUUAACCAUAAACUAUGCCGACUAGGGAUCGGAUGAUGUUAAUUUUUAAUGACCCAUUCGGCG
rnacentral:rRNA from 1 species